rnacentral:misc_RNA from 1 species
AUAGGACAUGUUCUACGUAUUACAUCUAACUCCCACCGAAGCCACAUAAAUUAAUCUCUUUCUUCUUCUCUUUCAUUUUCCUUUCCCAAAUGGAGCAGCGCUGCCAGUCAUGAACGCAACAUUGUCCUCAUCCUCCUGCUCUUCCUCGCUACUUUCUAAUCCAUACUCACUCACUCACAACCUCACUUUCCACUGGUCCCUUCCUCCAUCACCUUCCUCCACCCUAAACACCACCACCACUACCAACGUCACGUCCAAACCCGCGCGCCUUUACCGUGCGCACACCGAACAAGCCAAUCCUACAACAGCAGACCUUUCUCUCACUACUGCUAGUAAUGACCAGAGACUCUUGUCUCUCCUCCGCCAAAGAAAAACCGAAGAGGCUUGGACCCUCUAUACCCAAUCCACUCACCUUCCAUGUCCCACUUGCCUUAGCCGCUUAGUCUCCCAACUUUCCUAUCAAAACACCCCUCUCAGUCUUUCUCGAGCUCAGUCCAUUCUCACGCGCCUCCGCCAUGACCGCCAACUCCACCGCCUCGAUGCCAAUUCCCUUGGUCUACUCGCCGUCUCCGCCACCAAAUCCGGUCAACUCAUUUACGCUGUCUCCCUCAUCAACUCCAUGCUGCGUUCCGGCUAUCUCCCCCACGUCAAGGCCUGGUCUGCCGUUCUGAGUCGCCUCGCCUCCUCCCCGGAUGAUGGCCCUACCCAAGCUAUCAAGCUCUUCAAGUUAAUCACUCGCCGUGUACGUCGCUUCUCGGAUGUGGCAAUGGUGGCUGACUCGAGGCCGGACACGGCUGCUUUCAAUAACGUACUUAACGCUUGUGCUAAUACGGGAGAUACGAAAAUGUUCCUCCAGCUGUUUGAGGAAAUGUCUGAGUUCGGAGCUGAGCCAGAUAUCUUGACUUAUAAUGUUCUAAUUAAGCUUUGCGCUAGGUGUGAUAGGAAAGAUUUGCUUGUGUUUGUCUUGGAGAGGGUAAUUGAGAAGGGAAUUCCUUUGUGUAUGACCACUUUGCAUUCCCUUGUGGCUGCCUAUGUUGGGUUUGAGGACCUGGAAGCCGCGGAGAAAAUUGUUCAAGCAAUGAGAGAAGAAAGGAGAGAUCUUUGUAAGAUUCUUAGGGAGGCGAAUUUGGAUGAUUAUUGUGAAGAUGAGGAAGAUACAGUCGAGGAUAAGGAUGAGAAUAAUGUGUUUAACAAGUUACUUCCAAAUUGGGUUGAAGCUAGUAACACCGAGCCACCAUUAUUGCCUAAAGCUUAUGCUCCUGACUCUAGAAUAUACACAACUUUAAUGAAGGGUUAUAUGAAGCAAGGCCGUGUAAGCGACACUAUUAGAAUGCUGGAGGCAAUGAGACGCCAGGAUGAUAAUGCAAGUCAUCCUGACCAUGUAACAUAUACUACAGUUGUUUCUGCUCUUGUAAGGGCGGGUUCUAUGGACCGUGCUCGUCAAGUACUAGCCGAGAUGACGAGAAUUGGUGUGCCUGCAAAUAGGAUUACUUAUAAUAUUCUCCUCAAGGGUUAUUGCCAGCAGCUGCAGAUUGAUAAGGCUAAGGAGUUGCUUAAAGAAAUGGCUGAUGAUGCUGAAAUUGAGCCUGAUGUGGUUUCAUAUAAUACUUUGGUGGAUGGGUGUAUACAGGUUGAUGACAGUGCAGGGGCUUUGGCCUUUUUUAAUGAGAUGCGAUCAAAAGGAAUUGCUCCCACCAAGAUUAGUUACACUACUUUGAUGAAAGCUUUUGCCUUAUCAGGCCAACCGAAGUUGGCUAACCAGGUGUUUGAUGAGAUGUUCAAAGACCCACGUGUUAAAGUUGAUUUGAUUGCUUGGAAUAUGCUUGUUGAAGGGUAUUGUAAAUUGGGAUUGGUCGAGGAGGCGAAGAAAAUAAUCCAGAGAAUGAAGGAGAAUGGAUUCUAUCCUAAUGUGGCAACUUAUUGUAGUCUUGCAAACGGUAUAGCAUUGGCUAGAAAACCAGGGGAAGCACUUCUACUUUGGAAAGAAGUAAAGGAAAGGUGUAUGGUACAAAAGGAAGGGGAGAAGAAAUCUAAUUCCGAUUCACCUGUUCCACCAACAUUGAAACCUGGCGAGGGCUUGUUAGAUACUCUGGCUGAUAUUUGUGUGCGGGCUGCUUUCUUCCAAAAGGCUCUAGAAAUAGUGGCUUGCAUGGAAGAAAAUGGUAUUCCUCCAAAUAAGACCAAGUACAAGAAAAUCUAUGUGGAGAUGCAUUCGAGAAUGUUUACUAGUAAACAUGCCUCACAGGCCAGGCAAGACAGGAGAAGAGAAAGGAAGCGAGCAGCCGAGGCUUUCAAGUUUUGGUUGGGCUUGCCAAAUUCUUAUUAUGGAAGCGAAUGGCGAUUGGAUGGAGAUGAUUAUUCUUGAUUCAGUUUAACUUCUAUGUAUUUGACUGUAUAAUGUUUCUAAUUGAAAUUCCACAGAAGUAAAAUGAAAAAUAAUUUCUAUGGGAAUGGUCUGUAAAUCAUGAACAUUUGAAUUUUGGAGGUAAUAUUAUCAUUGUAUAAAGUAAUGAAAUUAAAUCUGUGCAAAUUUGUUCAGCAGAAGAAAUUCAGAAUUGAUUCAUGUUAAACAUAAACUGGAUACAACAUUCAUUUUCAACUGUUUACUCUGAUGCCAUAAACCCAGAAAUAUGUACUAUGGAUUUCUGUGGGUUUGUUGAAGCCAAUUACAGUGCCCUAUGAACAGUUUGAUGGGAUAUUGAAAGAAAUAAUGGAAACAGGGAGCAUAACAUUUCCUGCUAUUUGAAGAAGCUCAACCCCUUGACCGUGAUGAUUGACUUCCUGUAUAUGAUGAUGUUAGUACCUGAUAUUUCUUUGGUCCCUUCUUGAGUAGAUAACCAAUAAUGUUUAAGUUGUCCACAAAUGUGUCAAUAUCUGGAACUCGUAGCCCAAUCCUAUCUGCCAAACUGUAUAUUUCCUGAAAUAACAAGAGAAGAUAGAUUAGAGGACGAGUUGAUUUUAAGAGGCAAAUUUUCCAUUGCUAUAAAUGACAGAAAAAGCAAUUCCCCAGACAGAAAUUGAGAAGGUAUCUUUCUGCUGCAACUCUGACUGCUUAUUGAGGGCAGUCAGAAACCGUUUUGCUUCUUUCUGUUGGCUCAUUCCACCACUCCGACCAAAAUCCACAAAACCGUGCUCAUCAACAUACUUAUCAUACAGGGACUCUUUCAUUAUUUCAACCACAUCCAUUGCAUCUUGUUCUGUUAUUUCUUCUCUCAACUCUAGCCGAGCUCGAGCUUCAGCAAGCCUCACUAGACUUUCCAGUUGCCUUGCUGUUAUUGGUGUCCCAUCAGCUGAUGUAUUAUGGUCUCUAAGUUGUAAAUAGAACUUCUGCAGGAUUUCUGCUGCCGGUCUUGACAUCCUAUAUCAAUGAAAUAAAUACACGCAAAUAAAUUUGCAUUAAUAAAUAUUUGUAUGUAAUCACAUAGUACAGAUUACAUCUUCACAAGGGAGAAUCAUGCCAAAUCACCUAGGAAAGACAUAAGUUCUUGCAUAAGCAAUAUACUUUCGAAGAAGUGGACCAGGCAGAGGAGCAAAAUCAGCAUCCUUCUUUGGCUCAAGUCUCAGCCUGGAAAUUAAAGAACCACUUCGUACAUUCAUAUCUAUGCCCCUGUUGCUUUGUGAGGCUGAAUUUUGCAUAUUAAGGAUACAUAUCAUGAGAAACACUCUAUGGAAAUGUAUAUUCAUCCAUAGACAGAAACUCUACCUAAGUUUCCCCUUCCAUAAAGGGAGAAAAACAAAGGAGCAAAGAGAAGCAUAGGGACACUACCUAUCCGUAGCCUUUUUGUUGCUGGUGCAUGUUCCACAAAACCAGCAUGAAGCUGUGAGAUGAAAACAUUGAGUCUUUUAUAUCCUCAAGAAACAAACAGAUAAUGAAAAUGAUCCAAAAAUUAUAUGCAUGGUCCUGGAAAAAACAGCAAUCUUAACAGCCAAAAAAACUCUCCAAUUGCUUGACAAACAGUCUCCAAUUAAUGCCAAUAGUCUCCCAUCCUAUCAUAUCUUUUAAAGUGUGAUCGUAAUAUCGAAUGAAAUGUGUAAAAUAUUUUGUGAAAUGCAAAUACAUACUGAAGUUCCAUUAAAAUUUAAUUCUAACAUAAGUUGUCUUUCAAAGUUGCUUUGAAAUUCGCCACAUAUGUUUAUGACACAUACACAAAGAAAUGAACAAAAGCAGGUCCAUUCACCACAAUUUUUUAUGCUUCACAAUGGACUUACCUUCAAUUAGAUACAGAUAGCGUGUUUUCAUGCAAAAGAAUGUGCCAAUGCAAGAUGUUAGACAGGAUAACUUACUGACAUGAUGUGGUCUGAGACUUGUUUAUCCAGUACUUCGUCAGGUUUAUCGAGUAGUAUGAAAACCAAAUCAAAUCGAGAGAGGAGAGCAGCACUCAUUUUUAAGUUCUCAUUCACCGUCUUUGCUCGGCUGCAAUUUGGCUUUUGAAAAUCAACUAUACCAAACUAUAUACACAAUAAAAGUAUAAUCAUAUAAAUUUAAGGUAUUGCUAGAACUAAUAUUCUGUUAGAUUGGAAAUUUUUGAAUGUUUGCAAGAAAAUGCCCAGUAUCUGGAUUAUUUAAUUUCACCAGAAUCACAGAGAUCUUUUUUUAUGCAUCACUGUUGCCUUUCUAUUGCAUUUGCUAUCAGCUUCAAGAAAGUUAUAUUAGAAAGGAUAAACUAUAAACCAAAAUGAAGAAGAAAUUACUUGUAAUGACCACCAACAGGGUUUGCUGCUGCUAAAACAGAAGUUCGUGCUGAUAGACUUGCAAGCAGGCCAGCCUUUGCAACAGAGACACAUUGUUGCUCCAUGGCUUCCAAAAGAGCCUGAUGUUCUGCAGACAUUUUAUCAAAUUCAUCAAUACAACACAGUCCACUGUCUGCUAGCACCAUUGCACCAGAUAUCCUUCCCUUUGUUCAUAGAAAGGCAGUUCUCAUGACUCAAAACGGUGACUUCUUUGCCACAAAUGAUUAACCUUACCAUUGCACCAAAACUUUUCCUCUUUUGAUCUUAUAUCUUUUCUUCUUAAAAAAAGUCCUAGUGAAGAGCCAUCCUUCAUUGGGUUUUUGGGAGGCUCAAAUGUAUGCAGUCUUCCCCUUGCACUGCGAGGAGGCUAUUUUUGUGGUUUGAACCUAUGACCUCUAGGUCAUAAUGGAGCAUCAAAGUUCAAGUGUCUUUUAUCAUACAUGACCUAUGAAAGAAAUGAAAGGAAACGGCACAUUUUGAUAUUAAAAACAACAAUCCCAUGUAUCCAAUCACAACUAAGCCUCUAUCUAUUUACAACACUAAACCAAUUAAUCACCACUUGAUGCUUCAACUUUUCUCUAGUGUGACAGAAUAUAAUCAGAUAUUGUUGAUCAGUUAUCCCAAUUAUAGCUUAGUAAACCACACCAUGGAGGUAAUAAGUAAUAAAAAAUACAUCACAAAUUAAUGUGAUAAAAAGAAGAAAAGAAGCAAUCAGCUACCAGCCUCAAAUGCAUAGUCACUUGUCAUAGAAUCUUUCACUACUGCAACAGUGAGGCCAGCAUUGGUGGUAGCAUUGCCGCACACAUAAAUGCCACGUGGAGAAACGGCAGCUGCUGCUUGCAGUAAUUGACUCUUGCCUAGUCCAGGAUCACCAACAAUUAUGACAUGGAUAUCUCCUCUAACAGGGACCUUAUUUUGAUCUGUCGAAUGUUUGCGUACACCUCCAAACAGUGCUAAUGUUAUACCCGCUUUAACAGGUUCAUGUCCAUAGAUUGAGGGACAUAUGGAUUGAAUUAUUUGCCGGAAGAUAUCUGAACCAUAUUCUUCUGAAAACUUCACAAUAAAUUCCAAAUCCCUGGGAGAGAAUGAGUACAAAUCAGACAGCUCUGUAGCUCUAUCAUUAGACUUGGAAUCUUGCAAAUCAUACGAUGCAGACUGUGACUUGGAAUUUUUUAUGGAAACCACUUCUAGAUAUAGAUAGUAAAAUCCUUGAUUUUUGCCUUUUGAUUUUCCAUGUAAAAAUUUUUAGCCCACCUCCUCCAAUGUCCACAUAAUUAUUAAUUGUUCUUAUAAUUCCCGAAACAGUCACCACAUCUCCAGGAAUGCAUGCAUCAACAAGAUCUUCAGUCAGUUCACAUUCCACUGUUCGAGGAACCCGCCCUUCUUCAUGAUCUUCAGACUUUAGUAACUCCUGUAUCCUUAUUUUCUGAAAAUCUAUGUCUUUGGCAGAAGCUCGAAUGGGGUGAAAAGUCCUGCUCUUGCACCCAUUUAAGUUACAAAUAGUUGGCGGCGAAAAUUUUCCAUCAGGAAGUACACGUAUGAUAUUGGAUUUACACUUUUCACAAUCAAAACUCAUCUGUACCACCAAAGGCCUAACUGUGCUAACUUUCACCACAGUCCCUCGCACAGAUACAAGCUUAUCAAUAUAUGCUGCUUUUAGGUUUUUCAGAGCAAUCAUUGAUUCAGGGUAAUUGUGAAGACGGAUGUUUAUCUUUGUCCCAUUCUCUAGAAUGUUCUCCUCCCAUUUGGUCAAAAGUAUCUUGUGAACUGCGGCACCCAUGCAAGAGAGAGCUACUUUAGGUUUCUCCUCUAGAGUUGCAUAAAAUUCCUCAACCUCACACAGUUUUCGAAAUUGUUGAAAGUCAAUUGGCAAAAAGAAGGAGCCAUUCUCUUCCUUUACCUGAGAAGCGAGAUCUUGACCCGGAGAUGUGGAGAAGAAGUGGAUGAGAUCAGAUGUGAGCAUAAGCUUGUCGUCGUCGACUGCAAAUUCGUUCGAAGGGAAGUAAGCGGCCAGGAUGUCCAUACUGUUGCUCAAUUCGUUCAUCGUCCGGCGGUGCUUAUUUGCGCUUGUGCUAUCUCCAUUACCUCCGUACAUGAUGGCGAUCGAUAAAAAAGGGCCGUCUCUCCCUCUCUCCCUGCCAGUGCUAGCACUGCCAAGUGCUUGUUAAAAUCCUCUCGUUUUGGCGGGAGAGACCUUAGAUUUUAUAUGCUACAAGCCAUUUACAAUUUGAAAACACGACUUGUCGCACAUUCUGGUACGUGUUUCCCCGAAAAUGUCGUCGCCUUGCAAACGACAAGUUAUUUCUCACGAGAUUAUUUACAUUAUGCUAAACGACGCCGUGUCCAUUGAUGAGUGCAAUUUUAUAUUGCGGUUUACACGUGGAGAACCAUCAAAUAAGAAUUCGUGGAUUACAGCCACCUGGCCCAAUAACCACAGGCCGUCCGAUCUUUUCCACGUGUCAAUGCAGAUCAUCUAUUUCGUACCCUUCAAUUCAUAGAAAACCAUUGCCGAUACGAAUGCGGCCCUUAACCUGACUCUGACCAUCAUCUUUCUCUCCGCUGCCUCUCUCUACUGGAAUUUCUUAUCAGUUCAAAACCAAACUGGCACCUUAAAGCCAAGCUAGCUUACUGCUUUCUUUCUCUCUCUCUCUAUCCAAACAGUUACACAAGGUACUCGUUUUUCCUUUGUUUUCUGUCUUCAUUUGAGUUGGGGAGUUUCUAUUUUUUUAAUGGAGUUUUAUUUAUAGACACUGUUUUUGGAGUGUAUCAAUGUCUGCGAAUCUUGACCCCAUCGACCUUAAUUCCGACGUCGUGUCAGUCGAACCAGAAGACGAUGUUCAUGGGGUUAGUAUUCUAGAACCAACUGUUAAGCUUCGUUUGUCUGAUGCUGAAACCCUAACAGACUCUUAUGGUCAGACCCAGAAGCCAGUAGUAGACCAAGUUAGAAACUUUGAAGAAGCUAAUGACUUGAAGGGGGUAAUUGUUGAUGGGUUAGGCAAUGGGGAUUUGGAAAGAGAAACGGAGUCUGUUGAUAGAGGAAUUACUUUGGAAACAGAAAUUGGGUCUGUAGAAAGGGAGAGCAAUACGGUUGUUGAUGUCUCUUCUGGAGUAGUCCUCCAGGUAAUUGAAACAAGUCAUGGUGAGGUAGAAGAAAACCAUUCGGGUCAAGUUAAGAAGGAAGUGAAGGUGGGUAUUCCUUCAAGUUCAGCAUUUGAGGAUUCAAUCCAAGUUCAAAAUGCAGGUAAUUCGGGCCCUUUGCCUGGAGUAGUGGAUGUGUUAGUGAAAGAAGCUAGCGCAAAUUUUUUAUUGCCUCUCCAAGAUGUCGGUGAGGUUUGCAAAGAGGUAACUUCUGAUUGUACUGGGUUUCAGGCCAUGGAAUUGGAUGAUCAAGCUAAUACCUCUGAAGUGAUUUGCCAGGAAAAUGAUGAUAAUAAUAAGUCCGGUGCACUAAAUCUUGUAGUGGAUUUGAACCCAUACGUGAGCAUUGAUGGGAAUGAUUUAGGUAAUGUAAAUGUGAAAGUAUCUGCCUCCAAGCUGGAAUUCAGUGUUUCUGACCUUGUAUGGGGCAAAGUGAGAAGCCAUCCCUGGUGGCCUGGGCAGAUAUUUGAUCCUUCUGAUUCCUCAGAGAAGGCAAAGAAGUAUUUUAAAAGGGAUAGCUAUUUAAUUGCAUAUUUUGGGGAUCAGACAUUCGCUUGGAAUGAACCAUCAAUGAUAAAGCCUUUUCGAUCCCAUUUCUCACAAAUGGAGAAACAGAACAACUCAGAGGAAUUUCAUUAUGCCAUUGAUUGUGCUUUGGAUGAGGUUUCUAGACGUGUAGAGUUUGGGCUGUCCUGUCGUUGCAUAUUUGAGUAUAGCAAGAUUAAUACUCAAAUAAUCGUUAAUGCUGGAAUCCGGGAAGAUUCUAGUAGAAGAGUAGGUGGGGAUAGCUUUUCAGGUGCAGAUGCUUUUGAACCUGCAAAACUAGUUGAUUAUAUUAAAGCAUUAGGCCUAUUGCCAUUUGGUUUAAUUGACAGACUGGAAUUUGUAACAACACAGGCCCAACUAUUGGCGUUUUGUCGCUGGAAGGGUUUUUCUCAACUGCCCGAAUUCCAAAUUCUUGGCACCUUGUUGCUGAGUGAUACAGAAAUUGCACAAUUAGUACCAGUAGAAGGGAAGUGUUGCAGUGAAUUGAAUGAAAAUCCUGGUGCUGAAGAUAAAGAUGACAAGCAUGCAUCUUCAGGAAAAGUGGAGUCAAAAUGUCUAGAUCACUCAACUCCUAAGCGUAAGUACAUCUCUGGAGAUAAUGUAUAUCCAAGAAAGAAAGAGAAAAGUUUGGCUGACCUAAUGGCUGAGAGAGGCUUAUCUGUUCCAAAUGGUAAAAGUGGAUUGGGGAUUAGAGCUACUAACAAGGUAACUUCACCAUCUUCUGGUAAGAAAAGGAAGGCUGUUGAUUCCAUUUAUGAUGACUCUUUGGUGAAUCACAGCAAAAUUCUUUCAUCAUCAGGGGGUGGAAUCAACCCUUCUUCACAGCCAAAGAGAACCUAUAGAGUUGGAGAUAGCAUUCUUAGGGUUGCAAGCCAACUGUUUGAACCAACGCCAAUAAGCAAAUCUGUUAAUGGAGUUUCUCCAGAUUCUGCAAUUAGGGAUGAGAGCAAUGAGAAGUCUCUCUCAAGAAAGUCACAAGGUAAAAAACUGUUUCAAAUAGAGAAUUCUUCAUUUUAUGAGAUGGUGUCGCAGCUUUGCUUGGUAGCUAGAGAUCCCAUGGAUGUAUGCAGCUUCUUGAAAUCAGUAGUUAGUUUCUUUGUGGAAUUCAGGAAUUCAGUUUGCCUGGAACAUUUGAAUUCACUGCAGCACAAGUCAUCCUUUCUGGAAUUUCUCUUUGCUGAUAAUAUUGGGAAGGAAUCAAGCAAUUCAGAAACUGAAACAUGUGAAUCAGAGUAUGCCAAAGACUCUUGUUUGCAAGACAUGAUAAUUCAAAGUGUCCCCAAAGAGCUGCCAUCACCUGAGAAUCAGAAUGGAGCUGUAGACAUGCCACCUGAAAGUACAACCAAAAAGGUUAUUCCUCUUAUUGAAUUACAACCUACUGCUCAAUCUAGUCCUAAUUUGGAUUCUGAACAUCAAGGUGCUGGUGAAAUUCUUGAUAUGGAAGCAAUGAAGCCAGUGGAUCACUCGGAAGAGAAUUGUAAUGAUCACUCUCCAACAGCUCUGAUUCUGAACUUUACUGGCCUGGAUUCCAUCCCUUCAGAAUCAAAUUUGAACAAGAUAUUCAGCCGAUUUGGCCGUGUGAAGGAAUCAGAGACUGAAGUGCUGAAGAAGAGUAACCGUGUGAAAGUGGUUUUCUACAGGCGAGAUGAUGCAGAAACGGCUUUCAGCAGUGCUGGUAAAUACAGCAUAUUUGGACCUUCACUUGUUAGUUAUCGCCUCAAGUACAUGCCUUUCUCACGAAGUAAAUCUUCUCCGAAAACAACAAAGAGCAGCAAGAAAAAUGCAAAUUCUGUGGAGGAAAAUACAACUUGAUGCAUCAGACUCUGGUAUAAGUUGCCAGCAACAUGAAGUUAAAACUGUUGGUAGUUUUCAUUUGUUCCUUUCUUUGGCUGAUCCCUGGUGAUCUUAAGUGGACUAUACAAGUAGUCUGACUAAAUACAGUUUGUUUGCGGAUGUAAUUAAUCUAUGGAAAUUAUUAGGGAGUAUCUUGAUUGAUAGAACUCGCUAUUUUGUUUAUAUUUCAAUUUGCCAUAGUCUGGCAUUUUCAUGUAGUAAGGUUCAAUUUUAUUGUGAUGAUCACUUGACAGGAUAAGGAUGCAUGUGGAUGGUUCAAAGCAAGUGCAUCAGUUCUGCUUUAUUGGUUACCAGUGAAUCGCCAUUCAGACAAGGCCAUGUGUGGUGGAGGUUUGAUGCUGAUAUAUACUCUUUGGCAUACACAACACAUUAACAUCACUUGUUGACACUUUAAAGGAGUUGCUUAAGACUACAGUACAUGACUUGUGAACCUCAAACUAGCUGCUUAGAUUAUCUGUUGCUUAAAUUUAUACUUUAUGCCAUGCCAAUCUGAUAAUAUGUGUAUCCUUUUCAGCUGCGGUUCUGCAGAAACAGGCAAGAGAAAGCUACUUCAUGCAGUCUCAAGUGGCUAAGACUAUAGUGCCAUAAUGUGAAUAUUGUAUUGCUUCUCUUAGGGACAUGUUCAUAUGAAGUUAAAAUAUAAAUACAGAAAUUAGAUGAAUUGGUCAUAAAUAUAAUAAGCUUUAUUAAAAUUUUGUAGUAUUUAGUUUCAUAUUCUAUAAGACUCUAAUUCAUGUGAAAAUUAUCCCAAGAGAAAUGUGGGGAAAAAAAUGAAGGUGAAAAGAGCAAGAAGGGAAAGAAAAUGAAG